CCUUCCCCGAUCGCCGCCGCUGCCUCUCUCCCUGAAUCGCGCCGCCGCCGCCAUCCUCCUUGAAUCGUGCCGGCGCCACCCUCCCUGGUUCACGCCUCCUCCGCCUCCCUCCCUGGAUCAUAGCGACGUCGCCCACCACUGCCGUGACACACCUCCGCCGCCACCCACCCCGUCCCCGACGCACCUACAGCCUUCCGCACAGAUCCGGUUGGGGCCGGCGAGAUCCACGCGGUCGACCACAAGUUCUGCCCUAUCCCACGACAUCCAUCCAACGACAUGGACUGAUCUGAACAAAAUCAGUCCAUCGCCACCCACGCACGGCUUGGAUUCUGCACGUCGCCGCCAUGAGAUGCAGUCUACUAGCUCACCUCUGCCACCAUGCCUCCUCACCUCUACCAUCAAUGGUCGCCACUGUGCUCAAGGUCUCCUGUACAUGCCAUGGCCUGGGGCCCCAACCCCCUAUGCUAUAGGAUCCUGGGGUCGCCGCUUGACUCGUCACCGUCAGCCUCCCCGACCUUCUCUGGUUGCCUGGACAGGACUGCCCUUGCCAUUGAGCGCGACCAGUGCCUAUAUUUCAUCCACGACCAAGCCAUUGUGCUAAUCUUCAGUUCUGCGUCGACCAGUUGCAUAACAGUAGCGGUUCAAGAAAGGAUGCAGGCUUCCACACGGUGCCU